rfam:Ornithorhynchus anatinus chromosome 7, whole genome shotgun sequence.
AGCAGUGUGGCUUAGUGGAAAGAGCAUGGGCUUGGGAGUCAGAGAAUGUGGGUUCUAAUCCCAGCUCUGCUA